GACGAACGCUGGCGGCGUGCUUAACACAUGCAAGUCGAACGGAAAGGCCCUUCUUUUGUGGGGUGCUCGAGUGGCGAACGGGUGAGUAACACGUGAGUAACCUUCCCUUGACUUUUGGAUAACUUCAGGAAACUGGGGCUAAUACCGGAUAGGAGCUCCUGCUGCAUGGUGGGGGUUGGAAAGUUUCGGCGGUUGGGGAUGGACUCGCGGCUUAUCAGCUUGUUGGUGGGGUAGUGGCUUACCAAGGCUUUGACGGGUAGCCGGCCUGAGAGGGUGACCGGCAAAAUUGGGACUGAGAUACGGCCAAGACUCCUACGGGAGGCAGAGGGGGGGAAAAUUGCAAAAUGGGCGGAAGCCUGAGGCAGAAACGCCGCGUGCGGGAGAACGGCCUUCGGGUGGUAAACCGCUUUCGCCUGUGACGAAGCGUGAGUGACGGUAAUGGGUGAAGAAGCACCGGCUAACUACGUG
rnacentral:rRNA from 1 species